rnacentral:tRNA from 1 species
GCCGAGAUAGCUCAGUUGGUAGAGCACGCGACUGAAAAUCGCGGUGUCGCCAGUUCGAUUCUGGCUCUCGGCACUA